ensembl:snRNA U2 U2 spliceosomal RNA
AUUGCUUCUCGGCCUUUUGGCUAAGAUCCAGUGUAGUAUCUGUUCUUAUCAGCUUAAUAUCUGAUUUGUUUCCUGGCUGGGGAACAUAUAUUAAAUUGCUUUUUGAAACAGGGAGAUGGAGUAGGGGCUUGCUCAUUCCACUCCACGCAUCGACUUAGUAUUGCAUUACUUCUGGGAAUAGUGCACCCCAC